AAUAGAAGCAGGCCUGGCAGGAGGGAGCAUGAGCUUUCCAGUGGAACCUGUGACAGCAGGGACUUGCUCCAGGAGUCUCAACUGGGGCAUCUCUGAAUGGGAGACUCUGGACUGGUGACUGAAAUUGUUUUGAAAAUACUAAUUACAUGUGUGAGUUGCUGUAUGUAUAAGCCUGUGCCAGACUUAUUCAGACUUGGUACUCUGAACAAAGGUAAUCUAAGAUCAGGUAGUCUCUAAAAAUGCUGUGGGUUUACACUACCUGAUUUCAGAGAGCAAGCUUGUCUUUCUAAAUUAAAAAAAAAUGUCCCUGAUGUCAAUAAGGGCUUAUACUGAGAGAUAAGAGGAAUAUAGAUGGCUUAUAUUCACACUAGCUGUGCUAGUCCCCUCUAGAGCGGACUCCUGUAUUCACAUCCCACAGUGCUCCUUGGACUCCUUCUUGUGAUUUUUCUGUGUUGCCUUUCAGUUUGAAGUUUGUGCAAUGGUGUGAAACUGUCCCUCAGCCCGUGAGAAGGGUGCUCUCCUGGCAGCAGAGGGAGGGUACGUGCUGCACCUUCUGGGAUGCAGUAAGCUUUGAGGGCACAGCCAGCCUGGGUGGCUUAGAAGAGCACAUCCUGUGAAGUCAAACAGGAUGAGACCUUGGGAGCAGUGCUUGGUGCUGUCCCUGCAGCAGUGGGAAGUCAUUGCUUUCAGGAGGGCUUCUGGAGCUGUGGGAGCAGCAGCAGCAGCAGGGGCCUGAGCUUUGCUCCCUGACUGCCACAUAACAACGUGCCCAGAGGGAUCCUGAAGGUGUCCCUGCUGCUGGCACCACCUCGGUGUGGUAAAGCCCAGAGCCCUGGUUUCACCUGCCAGAAUUACACAGGUACUUUCACUGCAGAAUAAAUGCAGCACUGCUAAAGAAACACACGGCUUUUCCUGCAUCAUUUCCACAAAGCCGUGAGUUAGAAUCUUGGUCGUACUGAAACAGAACACUCACCCAGUUCUAACAAUUCAAGCUUUUGUCCCCGGACUGGACAAGGCCUGGCUAGGCACUGUGAAGGUACUACCCACUGCUGCUCUCCUCUUCACAGCCCAUGGUGUCACCUUUCAGCCUUACCAGUCUUACUUCAAAUCUUUCUCAAACAAAUAAGGCCAUAUAAAGCCAGUGAGUUAUAACACCAUGCAGCCAAAACUAGAUCAUGUUUCCUUCAGUAUUAAAAUACAAAUAUAUACUCUAGAAAGGCAAUUUCUCUGUCAUUUUUCUGACCUCUUCUUACGAGGAAUUUUCCCUGAAUUUUAUUUCCUCUGUGCUUCUACUCUGGAUAGCAAAUCCUUUUUUUCUUAAUCUAGUUCUAAAUUUUGUGGAACUUGCCAUCACUGUUACUCCAUCACUAAUGCCAGGGUUUUAACUGUAGGAAAAAUGGCAUGGGGGAAAGGGAAUUCUGUAAACACAUAUUCUUGGAAAAUAACAAAUGAACCUAUACUGAAGCCAGUCAGUAUUAAAAAUUACAAAAUAAAUUUUUAAAAGGAUAUGAAGCCUUAUGUUACUUAUAACAUCCAAACAAAUGUUAACUAAUUAAGGGUCAAGGAAAUUUUUUUUUCCUAGCAUUUUUUUAUUAUUCAAUAAAAAUCAUCACUUUGUCUUAACUAAAGCAAAUAAGAAGACCACUCCUGCAGCACAGCUCUGAUGCAGUGUAACUCCUACAGACGCUGGCUUCAGAAAAGCAGUACUUAGCAUAUUAUUUGUUUAAACAAAUCAAACACAUUUGAAUGAGAAACUAGCAGUGUUUAAGACAAGAAACCUCAGCAGUGUUUAAAAAACCUGGUGCUAAUGACUAGGAUUGUUUAAGAAACACUAAUCUUUGGAUGAAACUAUUAAGCUCUGUUUUGUUACCAUUAGUGAGUAGGAAAUACAUGUUUAUACAGGAGGGUCAUGCUUCAAUAGUUUAAUCUUUUACUUAGGUUAAUUUUUAUUCAACAUGGUAAGGCUUAGUGCAAUUACUUUUCACUGUUCUUUGAAUUUUUCUCUGUAACUCUCAUGGCCAACAUUUUAUUAGUUUUAGCAGAAGAGAUGCUAAAAAACAGUUCUUGCAGAAUUUUUUUAAUCAUCUCACAUUUUGCUGGUAGGGGGAUCCUUUUGCUGAGUAAUCAAACUUUGGUAGCAGUCAAAACUGGUCUUAUUUAAAAGGUAAACUGCCUCUGACCUGACACUGUUUUUCAUCUUGACAAGCAGUAAAGCUGAAUAUAAGCACAACCUUUUUCUGUAUUUAUGUUUGAUAAAGACCAGUUGGCAAAGCUUCUUAGUUCUAUUGGCUGUGCCAACAUCUUGUGUUGUCUCCAUGCAAUGAAAAACUGUGUGAUACAUACACCUAGAUCAUGACCUUUAAUAAAGUGGCAUGCCAGGCCAUAAACUUCUACUUCUCCAGAAGCCUGGAGAUGCAAAAUUGCUGACCAAACAUGCUGAUUAGUUCAUGCAGCUUCCACACACCUCCCACUGUCUGAUCUGCAGUGUUCCAACAGCUGUAGCUAUACACAGUGGAACUAACAUUCUGUAUCAAUUGUAUUUAAAGUUUCAGGUUAAUUCCGUGCAAAUUUCCCAGUAAAUCACAAUUUAUCAUGUUUGCUUUUGUAGAAGUACCAAAAGAUAACAGUUGAAAUAAUAGGCUCAUUUCAUAAGAGGUACCAGAAAGAUAUAUAAAUAAGUAACUAUGUUAUUUCUCCAAACAGCUUAUUACUUUUAGCAUUACAGGGUUGAUUAAAUACAAAGUGAGAUUAAAAUCUCAUACACAGUGUACAUUUACAAAUUAAAUGUGUGUGAAUCACUCUAUAUAGAAAACUGAGAGCUCCUAUAUACAGACUACAUACUACUGAAGGCUAGCAGAAACAUCAAAAAUGGUUUUAUCUGAAUUUUAAGAGUAUUUUGCAUAGUUGUGCUCCUACAUUAAAAAAAAAAAGAGAAAGACCCCAAUAUAGAUAAAAAAAUAUCAUCUUCAUCUUCCCUUCACAGAAAAGGAAAAUGCAUCUUCAGAGGACAAUUGUGUGACAUAUUCUAGACAAUAAAAUGUUAAAAUAAGA